GUGAUCUUCAAUCCUGUCUGGAAACAAGAUAAAAAGUGGUACUUGAACUUGGAUUGCUGGGUGGAGUGGAUGUGAAGAACAUGAUCUGGCAAAUUAUGAGGCAGGCAAUCAAAAAUUACUUGGCUAAAGCAGUUUGGAGCAUAAAAACAUUGUGAUUGAGGCUGUAAGAAGAAAUCCUGUAUGUGCACACACAACUGAGCUGGAGGUUGAAAAACCAGUCUUGGUGACCGUGAGGGUGGCAGAAAGAGAAGAAUGACUUCACAAGAUGUUAAAUGUAAACCAAACAAGUUAUUCUUAAGAGAGUGAAUCUUUGUUUUUAUUUAAGUAUAUAUUUUUAAUUUUUUGCACAUCUGUAAAUAUGAUUUGAAUUUCAUUUGUCUUUUGUUUGUUGGUUUCUGUGUUUUAUCACACAUGUGUUUGUAACAGUUUAAUUUGGUUUCUCUUGGGGUUUUUUUCUUGCAUUGUGACUUAAUUUGUUGCUCUUGUUUUGCCGUAUUCUAGUGUUAUUGGUUUAUCUUUUUCCCAUUGUUUUGUCGAUUUU